rnacentral:rRNA from 1 species
GUGCCAGCAGCUGCGGUAAUACGGGGGGUGCAAGCGUUAAUCGGAAUUACUGGGCGUAAAGCGCACGCAGGCGGUUGAUUAAGUUAGAUGUGAAAUCCCCCGGGCUUAACCUGGGAACUGCAUUUAAAACUGGUCAGCUAGAGUCUUGUAGAGGGGGGGUAGAAUUCCACGUGUAGCGGUGAAAUGCGUAGAGAUGUGGAGGGAAUACCGGUGGCGAAGGCGGCCCCCCUGGACAAAGACUGACGCUCAGGUGCGAAAGCGUGGGGAGCAAACAGGAUUAGAUACCCUGGUAGUCCACGCUGUAAACGAUGUCGAUUUGGAGGUUGUGCCCUUGAGGCGUGCUUCCGGAGCUAACGCGUUAAAUCGACCGCCUGGGGA